rnacentral:tRNA from 1 species
GUUAAAUUAGUUUAAGGAAAAUGCUAAGUUGUGGUCUUAGGGAUACAUAUGUAUUUAACU